UAGGGGGUAUGCAACUAUUAUGCAGUGAAAUACGAGGUCGCUUUCUCUUUCCAACUAGCACGUGUGGGCAAGCAAGGACUGAUUGAGACUUCCAAACUCAUCCCGGACAGAAAAGGAGGCCUGGGAGAGUCUUUCCUCUGCUUGAUCUUAUGCAAACUCUAAACUUGGCCCCAGAAUGGAUCACGCUGCUGCAUUAGACAUGGCACAACUGCUUCCAAGGCUGCCAAGAUCUUCCCAGGCAAAGAAGCAGAGGGAACAGGCCAUUACCUGCAAAGGCACGGCACCCAUGGCCUUAGCAGGAAAUUUUACUCUUCACACACAAUGUUUACAUAACCAGAAAAUCUUGACCCAGCAAACAAACAGGUGUUUCACGUUACAAAAAAAGACAGUAGGAGAAUGGGGGAUACGGGUUUUAAAGGCCAUUUAAUGUAUUUGCUGUAUUUUAAUUCUGUUUUUACCACAUUGUUAUUAUUUAAUUGUUUUUUAAACUUUUGUAUUGCUAUUUUUAAACUCUUUAAUAUUAAUUGAUGUUAGCUGCCUUGAGUCCCCAUAGGAAGAAAGGUGGGAUAUAAAGAUAAUAAUAAUAAUCAUAAUAAUAAUCAUAAUCAUGAAGUUAAAGAAAACACAAAUGGGUGAUUUUUUUAAAGAAUGCAUAGCCUUUCAGAUCCUGGAGAAAGCACUCAAAUACUUCUGUUAGACAUUUCCAUCCUGGUGCCAUAGUACUGCAGAAUAAAAUUAAAAGUGUCUAUGUAUCCAUUC